AAGGCAACUGUGUACCUCCGAGGAACAUUUGGGCACAGACAUCAGAGGAAGACUGACGCACUUGGGUAGCGUGUAGUUGCAGUUAAAAUACAUUUGUGAACGAGGGAGAGAACACAUUAUGUUGGUAUUCCUGGCCACUCUCCUUGUGUUCCCACUCUACGUCGCCGCCCAGAUGGAGCAGAGCUUGUUUGACAGACUCCCCGCCAUGGACGGCAAGAUAUUGACGUCCAACGUCGUCAUGCCACAGACUAAGCUGGACCUGGGGGCUUGCAGCUUUCAUUGUCUGGGGAACCCCAAGUGUAAAGCUUUCUUCCACCACAAGGAAACAUCUCUCUGCCAACUCCAGGCUGCCAAGGGUUCUGGGGGCAAGGCGGAGAAAGGGUGGCUGCACUAUUACAAGAAGUGAGAGGUGCCCACGUUCAGAUCUCCUCGAGGUUGGGCAACACCAGGUAAAGGAGAGAUCCUGGCUUGAUUCAGUGACUGGUUUAAAUAUGCAAUAUGUUCUGUUCUACCAUCCUUGAUAUAUCGAUAGUGUUGCCUAUAAGUAUACAUUUCGAAUCU
rnacentral:lncRNA from 1 species